GUGCUUCGGCAGCACAUACACUAAAAUUGAAAUGAUAGAGAGAAGAUUAGCAUGGCCCCCUCACAUGAAUGACACUUCUUUAAUAAAAACAACAACAACAAAA